GAUGCUACUUAUCAAGAGCCCUCGGCCC
rnacentral:piRNA from 1 species